UACGUAGGGGGCAAGCGUUGUCCGGAUUUAUUGGGCGUAAAGAGCGUGUAGGCGGCCAUACAGGUCAGCUGUGAAAACUCGAGGCUCAACCUCGAGACGUCGGUUGAAACCGUUUGGCUAGAGUCCGGAAGAGGAGAGUGGAAUUCCCGGGUGAUAGCGGUGAAAUGACGCAGAUAUCGGGGAAGAACACCCGUGGCGAAGGCGGCUCUCUGGGACGGUACUGACGCUGAGACGCGAAAGCGUGGGGAGCGAACAGG
rnacentral:rRNA from 1 species